rnacentral:rRNA from 1 species
UACGUAGGGGGCAAGCGUUGUCCGGAUUUAUUGGGCGUAAAGAGCGUGUAGGCGGCCAGGGAGGUCCGUUGUGAAAACUCGAGGCUCAACCUCGAGACGCCGAUGGAAACCCCCUGGCUAGAGUCCGGAAGAGGAGAGUGGAAUUCCCGGUGUAGCGGUGAAAUGCGCAGAUAUCGGGAAGAACACCCGUGGCGAAGGCGGCUCUCUGGGACGGUACUGACGCUGAGACGCGAAAGCGUGGGGAGCGAACAGG